UUGUCGAAUCAAAAGUGAAGACAACUCUGCUCUGACUCAACUCAGCAGUACAAGAAGGAGUCUUCUUUUACAUUUCCAGAUCGUAAUCUGUUGUUAUGUCUAUGGUCGUUAGUGACAGAAAUCGUUUAGGUUGCUUUGCUUCAGCUUCUCAGUUUAUUUCAUAACGUUUCUCACUAAUAGUCUGAAAGAUUUGAUCAGUGGUUGAAGGAGUAGUAUUUCAUUUAUUGGAGUCAUGUCUGGAGAGGAAGAAAUUGAUAAGUUGGAGACGUCUGCUGCGGAAAUUCUAUGUCAGCUGCGAGACGGCCAAGAGAGUUCCUCAACAUCUCCAUCGCCAACAAGCGAGAUUACGACUGCUUCAUCAUCAGGAAAACGUGACCUGCAGUGCACUGAAUGUUCAAAACCGUUCCCGACACCAUCCAAGUUGAAUACCCAUCUUCGUACACAUUCAGGUGAACGUCCAUUCUCAUGUGAGAUUUGCAACAAGGCAUUUCGACAGUCAUCGCAUCUAAGAGUUCAUGAGCGGACGGUUCAUGUCCAGGAGAAGCGGCACAAAUGUGAAGACUGUGGCAAGACGUUUGGUCAGGCGCCCCACCUUGCGUCUCAUCAACGGGCUCGCCAUCAACAGCAACGGCCGUUUGUUUGUACAGUGUGCUCUCGUAAGUUUGUGCAGUCCAACCAUUUGACGGCACAUGGGCGGCUACACUCGGGCGAACGGCCAUACGCCUGUCUGGACUGUGGCAAAACCUUUCGGCAGUCGGGUCACUUGCGGAUACAUGCUCUGACACACUCGGGAGAGCGGCCGCAUGCGUGCGACGACUGUGGUGCUCGCUUUAAGCAGAAGCAGCACCGCACAAAGCAUGUCUGUAGACCUGAAGAUCAAGCACCAGCAACUAACGGCGAUAGCCCCAAGAGUGGUGUUUCUGAGGAGGCAAUCCCGAAAGUAGUUACUGUUGAGGUUACAUAACCUCUGUGGACUCCCACUGUUUCCUUCCCUUUCUACGUCGUAGUAGAUUUCAGGACUUCUUUUCGUAUUCUUUUAUGAUUUUUGCGUAGGACAGUCUUUUAUCACAACAAUCAAACUUCAUCAUUGACCUGAGUGUCUUUACACAAUGCACCAUGCUUCAUUGCCUGCUUAGCCUGCCCUUGGCGUAUCAUCCGACCUCACAUAUACAUUCUACUAUUGUAGGUAUGCUUCACUCACGGCUUUUACAGCAGUUGAAAUAGUGUUUUAUGCGUACACUGUAAUGUCGUGUUUUAUAUAUUGAUGUGUAAUAAUCGCACUGCACUGUUUUGCUUGUCUUCUGGCUUCUUGUUCAGUCACUGGUAUCGGCUGGAUCAUUCCCCUGUCAGCUGGUUGGAAACCUGUCACUUGCUUGUACCUGCUAAUAACCAUGUGUCUCUCUUAUCGUUAAUUUGCCCCUUCAUUAUGUACAUGUACGGUAUGCCUCGAGUUUUUUUGAUUUUAUGAUGAUUUUCGGAUUACCGGUAUGUGGCCUUGCAAUGAUGACUGAUCAAACAUCUGUAGCCUUUCACAGUGUGACCCUUAGCUAGGCUAAGCCUGAGGGUGCAAUGCUGCUAUUUGCACCUUACACGUAGCAGCCAGUUAAUCCGACUCCCUGGUCUUCGUGCAUUGACUUUGUUCUGUUUUCUACCCCAUGCCUUACUCGCACUGGUACAUGUGCACGUAUUUUCUGUACCUUGAUUUGUAAUGGUGAAAAGAAGAAGAAGAAGUCUAUGGCGGGAAGGAGCUUUCUUAGCUUUGUAUAUCUAUGUCAUUGUUCAUUGUUUUCACCCUGAGGAUGGGCUGUGCCCGAAAAUUUGGUGAAUUCAUUAUUUAUUUUGAAUUGACGUUGCAGCGAAGAGACCGUACUUGGAAAGUUCGA